GUGCCAGCCGCCGCGGUAAUACCGGCAGCCCGAGUGAUGGCCGAUCUUAUUUGGCCUAAAGCGUCCGUAGCUGGCCGACCAAGUCUAUCGGGAAAUCCACCUGCCCAACAGGUGGGCGUCCGGUAGAAACUGGCCGGCUUGGAACCGGAAGGCUCAGAGAGUACGUCCGGGGUAGGAGUGAAAUCCCGUAAUCCCGGACGGACUACCGAUGGCGAAAGCACUUCGAGAAAACGGAUCCGACAGUGAGGGACGAAAGCCAGGGUCUCCAACCGGAUUAGAAACCCCAGUAGUCC
rnacentral:rRNA from 1 species